GACGUAGGGCGCGAGCGUUGUCCGGAUUUAUUGGGCGUAAAGAGCUCGUAGGCGGUUCGUCGCGUCGGCUGUGAAAUCCCGAGGCUCAACCUCGGGGUCUGCAGUCGAUACGGGCGGACUGGAGUUCGGCAGGGGAGACUGGAAUUCCUGGUGUAGCGGUGAAAUGCGCAGAUAUCAGGAGGAACACCGGUGGCGAAGGCGGGUCUCUGGGCAGUAACUGACGCUGAGGAGCGAAAGCGUGGGUAGCAAACAGG
rnacentral:rRNA from 1 species